GGGGACGUAAGGCUUUCGACAGAAGAUUGCGUUUAGUUAUCACAAACCGUUUGUUGGUUCGUUAUAUCAACACACAACUUAAGUGUAGAAAAUAAGAUUGUCGCCUUUGUCAAUGAUUUAGGUAAUAAAGUAAGAGCAGCUUUUGCGGCUCCUGCUUAUGCCUUUAACUUUGCAUAAGGUCUAGCUAAUUAUUUUAGCUAGUGUCUAUAUUCCUUAUCCCUGAUUAGGGGUUAUAGAUAGUCGUUAUCAGGGUACGGUUAGUUAUUUGAUCGAUAGGGUAACAAGCUUAGAUAUAUAAUCGAGGGGAUGUUUCUUUUUGUUAACCUUUUUAGAAACAUCUUACUACACAAGGUUAACUAUGUUUGUACAUGGUGCUAAACAAAGCUUUUGGACAUGGGUUCAAUUCCCAUCGUCUCCAGAU
rnacentral:tmRNA from 1 species